rnacentral:rRNA from 1 species
AGGAUUAACGCUGGCGGCGUGCCUAACACAUGCAAGUCGAACGAGGUAGCAAUACCUAGUGGCAGACGGGUGAGUAACGCGUGGUCAACCUACCCUCGAGUGGGGGAUAACUAGCCGAAAGGCUAGCUAAUACCGCAUAAUACCGUAGCCGGCAUCGGCAUCGGUUGAAAGCAGCAAUGCACUCGGGGACGGGACCGCGUCCGAUUAGUUAGUUGGUGGGGUAACGGCCUACCAAGACUCCGAUCGGUAGCUGGUUUGAGAGAACGACCAGCCACACUGGGACUGAGAACGGCCCAGACUCCUACGGGAGGCAGCAGUGAGGAAUUUUCCGCAAUGGGCGAAAGCCUGACGGAGCGACGCCGCGUGUGGGAAGAAGGCCUUCGGGUCGUAAACCACUGUCGAGGGGGACGAUACUGACGGUACCCCUGGAGGAAGCCCCGGCUAACUACGUGCCAGCAGCCGC